CAAAUUUUAUGGAGAUUGUUAUAUAUAUGUAUGUAUAUAUAUACUAGAAAUAAUUUAAUAGUAAUAACAUUUAAGUCUUUUUUUCUAGAGAUAAAUAACAUUUUUAUUCAAAAUUAAACAGUAUGAAGAGUCUAAAAAAUCAGUCCAUAGCAAAAAAGCCUUAGACUCAUCGGUCCAAGAAAAAAAAAAGGCCAGAAGCCCAUACAUAGGAAUCUUUCUAUUGGGUUGAUUGAUCUGGAAAGAAGAGCCGUUCUUUAAAGCAAGUCGUGCGGCAUCAUCUCCUCCUCCAAGGAGAACAUCCAAGAAAAGAGCACAACUGAUGAAUGUCAUCACCAUUUUCCAACACUCGAAGAACCAAGUAAACCUCCCGCAUGGCUCAAACAGUAAAGAAACAACAACCGCCUCGAUUAGACAAAAGCCAGAAAGCUUAGAGCCAGAACAGGGACCAAAGAGCAGCAGGGAUAGAAUAUGUCUUCGGGCAGUAAGGCAAAGCUCCUUUUGACUAUCUCAAUCUCUUGUAGCCAUUUAAGCCAUUUAAGGACUAGAUGCAUGCAUCAGGGAGGGACAAGAUUUAAAUAUAUUAAAGAAAUUUAAAUAUAUCUCAAUCUUGUCCCUCUAAGAUUUAAGGACUAUCUCAAUCUCCUGUAGCCAAUCUCCAUCCAUCAACACUAUUCUUGGAAUUUAUUCUAACCCAAUUUAUUCUUGGAAUCUUAGAGGGACAAGAUUGAGAUAUAUUAAAGAAAUUGGCUUUCCAUCCAUCAACACUAUUCUUGGAAUUAGAAUUGGGUUAGAAUAAAUUUUCAUCCAAAUGACAUUCCUCCUUUUCAUCCCAAUUGCUGAGCGUCAACAUUUGGUUUAGUUUAAAAUUAAAUCCAAUGGAAUUAAUCUAAUUUAGUUUAAUUUGAUUGAUUUUAAUUUUUAAUAAAUUUUUUUAUUUUUUAUCUUUUAUUUUUAAUAUUUUAAAAUUUAAUUGAAAUAUUUUAAUCUUAGAUCUAAUCUCUAUGUAUUAUUGAUAAUAAUAUAUUAUUAUCAUUAAUCGGUUCGAUUUAAUUUUUUUGAUUUUUUUCUGAUCAAAAUCGAAUCGAAUUAAAAUAAAUAAAACAUCGAACUGAAUUUUUAAUUUAAUUCGAUUCGAUCAAUUUUUUCAAUUUAAAUCAAAUAUUGCUCACCUUUACCAAUUGUUACUAUAAAAAAAGGAAGACAAAAAGACAAGUUGUUAUGGCAUCACACAAAAAAUGGUCACUGUGAGGUACAAUCUGUUUAUUAUAUUGCUAAAAUUCAUUUUUAAUAGUACUUGAUAACAACUCCUUUUUCUUUUUUUAGAACCGAAAAUUCAUAUAUUUCUUUAAAUGCUCGAAAAUAAUUUAGUUUUGGUUUCACCGUCCCUUAUAAUUUAAUUUUCUUUCAAUGCCCGAGAGCAAUUUAGUUUAGUAUUUAAUUCUUGGAAUUCAAUUCUAUGAAAUUGGUCAUAACCAAAACCAAUUCCAAUCAAAUUUGAUAGAAUUUGAAAUGAAUUUCACAAAAUUUAUAAUACCAAUAUUUUUUGGAUUAAAAUGUCAUUCCCAAAUAAUUUAAUCUAAAUAAUUUAUCCCAUAUAUUUUAUUAGUCAUAAAAGUGAAACCUAAUUUUCUAUACUAUUUAUUUUAUUAUGUAAAUUAAAAAUUAUUUUAAAUUCAUUAAUAUAUUUUUAAUGGGUUUAUAUUUUUAUUAAUUUUUAUAAAUUUAUUAGAUAUAAAAAUUUUUGAUAGAAUAGAAUUUUUUAUUUUACUCUUAAGGAUAGUUUAGAAAAUGAAAAAAUGAGUUAUGUGAAAUUUAAUUAAAUUCUAUAUUUUAAGUUUUCUCAUACCAAAUAAUAGAACUGAUUUCAAAUGACAUUAAUGUCAUCUGUCCAAUGUUUGUUUACCACAAACUACUGUGAAGAACUGACAUAUCUCAUCUGUGAUAAAUAAAUUAAGAAAAUGAUGUUCAUCAUCAAUUACUUAUUCUAGACAUCAAUAGCAGUCUGUUUUCCUUUUAGGAGGCCUGCCUCUUCUUUUACUCUGCUGCUGCUCAUUGUAAUCCUGAUCACUGGAUGGCAACAAACUAUUCCUAAUCAUAUCAGUAUCAGACUUUAGUUUAGGGGGUCUCCCUCUGCCUCGAGGCUUAGAUGAUGGCUGUUGCUCAUCUUGAUGCUGAGGAUCUUUGUUCAAAGGUGCUUUUGGUUUAGGAGAUCUUUCCAUGCUAGAAAGGUCAAGCUGCUGCUCUGGAUCUUUGUGCCAUUCAAGAAAAGCAGGUGAUUCAACAGAAUGUAACUUGGCUUCCAUUUGUUGAUUAGAGAGAAUCAUAUCAGUAUCAGACUUUAGUUUUCGGGGUCUCCCUCUGCCUCGAGGCUUAGAUGAUGGCUGUUGCUCAUCUUGAUGCUGAGGAUCUUUGUUCACAGGUGCUUUUGGUUUAGGAGAUCUUUCCAUGCUAGAAAGGUCAAGCUGCUGCUCUGGAUCUUUGUGCCAUUCAAGAAAAGCAGGUGAUUCAACAUAAUGUAACUUGGCUUCCAUUUGUUGAUUAGAGAUAAUCAUAUCAGUAUCAGACUUUAGUUUACGGGGUCUCCCUCUGCCUCGAGGCUUAGAUGAUGGCUGUUGCUCAGGAUCUUUGUUCACAGGUGCUUUUGGUUUAGGAGAUCUUUCCAUGCUAGAAAGGUCAAGCUGCUGCUCUGGAUCUUUGUGCCAUUCAAGAAAAGCAGGUGAUUCAACAGAAUGUAAUUUGGCUUUCAUUUGUUGAUUAGAGAGAAUCAUAUCAGUACUAGACUUUAGUUUACGGGGUCUUCCUCUGCCUCGAGGCUUAGAUGAUGGCUGUUGCUCAUCUUGAUGCUGAGGAUCUUUGUUCACAGGUGCUUUUGGUUUAGGAGAUCUUUCCAUGCUAGAAAGGUCAAGCUGCUGCUCUGAAUCUUUGUGCCAUUCAAGAAAAGAAGGUGAUUCAACAGAAUGUAAUUUGGCUUCCAUUUGUUGAUUAGAGAGAAUCUGUGGGUGAGGAUGCUGCUCUGACAAUAGAUCACAAAUAAGUUCCUUCUGUUCACAAGGGCUUGUAAU
rnacentral:lncRNA from 1 species